CACCUCCCCCCUCGUGCUGCGUUCCGUUGGCUCCCUUGGAUGUCCCAUGGAUUUCCUGAGCGUGUCUCAUAACUGUCUCAUUGAGCCGCGCCUCCGUUCAGGAAUCCAUUCCACACAGACUAGCAGGCUAGCGCUGAGGCUAGACUGUUUAGCACGGCAGCCAAUACCGUCACCGGAGGUCGUCAUGGUUACUUUAUGAUUCCACUGUGUCUCUGUUAGUGCCAUCAUAAUUAUGAUGUCAGCGUGACGCUUUAGUUAGUGACAUCUUCAUCAUGAUGUGACGGUUAAAGACAUCAUCAGUGACAUCAUUAUGGACCGGAGGUCGUCAUGGUUACUUUAUGAUUCCACUGUGUCUCUGUUACUCUGUCAUUAUGGACCGGAAUUGUUUAUCAACGAUGCCUUGCAGAGAUGGAUCCCCCGACCUCCCACUCUCCGCCAGGAGAAGGAGAGUGGCUCGCCGCACUCGCAGACGAAGAAGAAGGAUCAUCCGACGAAGAAGAAGAAGAAGGAUCAUCCGACGAAGAAGAAGAAGGAUCAUCCGACAAAUAAGAAGGAUCACGCGACGAAGAAGAAUGCUCAUGCGACGCCUCGCAGAACUGGAUCCCCCAACCUCCCACUCCCAUUUCCCUGGCUCCCAUCUAGGAGGAGGGGAUUGCCCCCCCGCAUUCGCAGGCUCCUUAUCAUGGUCGUCCGACGAAGAAGAAGGAUCAUCCGACGAAUAAGGAUCAUGCGACGCCGCGCAGAAUUCCAACAGACAAGCCGACGUUAGGUAAGUUGAUAAACAUGUAGCACAAGUACCUAAUCUACCCUUUACUUAUAUUUACAUUCUAUCCACUUCGAUUUUACUACUACUAUAUAUACCCGUGUAUAUAUGUACAUAUACAUUGAUAUAUACAUACUCAUGAGUACUAAAUCCACGCUUUAUUUAGAUUUACAUUUUAUCCACUUAGAUUUUACUAUUACUUAUCACAUUUAUCACAUCAUGAUGUCGCUUACUGUGACAUCAUGAGUGACAUCGCAAAGAGUCAUCAUCAGAGCAUCGUAAUAGAACCCCUGCUCCCAUCAGGAUUUUGUUCAUCAACGAUGCCUCGCAGAACUGGAUCCCCCAACCUCCCCGCCAGGAGAAGGAGAGUGGCUAACGUUCAAACCUACCAAGUCAUUGUCAAAGGAAUAAAUGAAGAGUUGCAGCUAUCAGUCUGACUCUUAAACACCAAUCAAGCCGUUUCCAUCCAAAAUGAACACAUGUACCUACAUCGCUUUAACGAGACCUCAAAUGUCUUUACUCAAAGUGGUUUGGGAGCUUUGAGAGAUCAGAAAGCUUUGCGCAUCACGAUAAGAAAGCAGCGAUCCUUCUUUCAGUGGACAGCCCGCUUCUUGUUCCUUCUUCUUGUUCCUUGUUCCUUCUCCUCGUUU
ensembl:lncRNA